UGUACUUUAAUGGUCAUUCUGAUGGUUGUUGAGCUUAAAAUUAUAUAUGCUGAACUGCCAUUCCAUGAUCAACUACAAUUCCUUUCUGUUUUCUACUCCCAAACUGAUCGUCAAGUCUCAACAAAUUUACACUACCUUCCAACCAUUUUCCUUGCCAUGAUAGCAACUAUUAGCUAUCACCACUUUCUAUACUCUUAUUAAUGUAACUACCCGUUUGCCCUCAGCAAGAUUAAACCUAAGUUGCCCUUGGGGAGAAGUAUUGCCGUUCAAAGUGGGGCUGUACCCUUCGAUACUUGUCAUUUUCUUGGCAAGACAAGGUGUAUUGUGGUAAUUUUGCCCUAGUUCCAUGCAUGUUGGCCUUCUAUUUGUAGCUACAAGCCAUGGAUUCUGAAUGGUCAUGUAGCAACUCUUGAAAGCUCCACGGUUGAUAAGAAAGAGAGAAAGCUGGGAGAGAGAAUUUGAGCCUUCAAUCUCUCUUUUUAAUGUUUCUUGCUCAAAUGAGUAUUCCAACAGCAGUAGCCUUAUGCAACAAGAGCAUAUAUUUUUUACUUGUAUCACUGUAAUAUGAUGUUGCUGGAAUGCUACUGUUUCUGAGAUGCUCAUUUGAGCAAGUAAUAUUAGAAGAUGAUAUUUUUGCACCAGGGCUUGCUUCGAAAAGGAUCGAGUGCAGCAUGCUUGUUCUUAGUUUAUCAGAUAAGUUAGUGUAAUUUUCUUUCUUAGCCAUACAUGUCAUGGUUUUCUGAUUUUUCCUCACACGAGGCCGCCUAGCAAUAAAUCAGGUUUAGGGUUUCCUUUUCUUUUUUAAUUCUCUUUUGAUCUUUAGUUGUUAUAAAUAGUACUGGUUUUCUCUAGACAGGUAAUCCUUCUGGUGGUCUCUUGCUUCUCUCCCCACUUUUCAUGCCCUUCUUCUUUAAUUCCUCCUCCUCCUCUUUCUUCUUCCCUUGGUCUUGUUCAAUUUUAUGUCUUUUAUCAUAUCAGUCCAUCUACAAAGCCUUUUCCUAUGAUGAUCACAGGUUCUGUUCUUUGCCUGAUGUCUUGGAUUGAAGUUAAUUGUGCUUUGCAUAUAUGGAAGUCCUUCUGCUUCUGAUCACAGGUUGCCCAAAUCUCUUAGAAUCUCUGUGGCCAGCACUGUCUUUACUGCUUAUCGAGAUUUGAUUCAUGACUGAUUCACAUGAGUCUUUCUCCUUGUGGGGACUGACAGGCAGGCUGCAGUUUUGUUAUGAUACUUUUGUCACCAUGAGAUCCCAUGCUUGUUUCACCUCAAGUUCUAUUUUUCUCCCUGGAUUCUCAAUAAAGUCCUUGGAUGUUUUGUUGCAUGGUUCUGUGAGAUUAAUUUUGCGUCCUCUAGCGGGACCUCUCUUCUGCUUAUAUAUGUAUGUCCCCUUGUCUGCUAUAGCAUGGAUUACUGUCCAUGCCUUAAAAUUUGUUCUAUGUGCUGUAAGCAUGGUUCUUUGUGAUUUUUUCCCUUGUAGUGCUACUCUUCUGAUAAUACAAGUCUGUUAUUUCAUGGUCAGUGCCUGUGGCCUUACUGAGGUCAUUGGUGCUUUAUACGGUCUGCAUGCUUAUUUCAGGUUGCUGUUCUGGGCUACUACUGACAUGCUGAUGUGCUUGUUGCUAGCUGCUAUAAAAGCUAUUCUGCAAUGGCGUUCGUUGGUUAAUGGCAAGAUGCAAAAAAAAAAAACUUGGCAUAUUCUCUUUUAUGGGAUAGCGUGCAUGGGAUAUAUGGUUGGCUCGGAAUAACCUAAUCUUCAAUUCAAAACAACCAAGCUGGGACACAGUUCUUGACUUGAUUCUUCACAGGUUGGCUGUGGUUGAAAUGAUCAAGUGUCAGGAAUUUUAGUUACAGAGGCAACGAUAUGGUGGUGCAAAGUGCAAAUGGCCUCCUUCUUUGGACUAAUUAGCUAGAUUUGUACAGUUAAUUACAUUGUAAUCGGGGAAUUCUUGCUUUUCCUCUUUUCCUCUUUUUUUUUUUUUUCUAAAUAGCUAAGUUGAUUUCCAAUAUAUCGAAUAUUAUCCUAGAAAACAGAUGCUUACAGCUUUACUUAUGUUGUUGUUGCAGCUUCAUAUGUUCUGAAACAUUAAAUCAAGCAAUCCAAGUCUAUAAUACCAUAAUUACCUUCCA